rnacentral:rRNA from 1 species
GAUGAACGCUGGCGGCGUGCCUAAUACAUGCAAGUCGAGCGAACGGACGAGAAGCUUGCUUCUCUGAUGUUAGCGGCGGACGGGUGAGUAACACGUGGAUAACCUACCUAUAAGACUGGGAUAACUUCGGGAAACCGGAGCUAAUACCGGAUAAUAUUAUGAACCACAUGGUUCAAAAGUGAAAGACGGUCUUGCUGUCACUUAUAGAUGGAUCCGCGCUGCAUUAGCUAGUUGGUAAGGUAACGGCUUACCAAGGCAACGAUGCAUAGCCGACCUGAGAGGGUGAUCGGCCACACUGGAACUGAGACACGGUCCAGACUCCUACGGGAGGCAGCAGUAGGGAAUCUUCCGCAAUGGGCGAAAGCCUGACGGAGCAACGCCGCGUGAGUGAUGAAGGUCUUCGGAUCGUAAAACUCUGUUAUUAGGGAAGAACAUAUGUGUAAGUAACUGUGCACAUCUUGACGGUACCUAAUCAGAAAGCCACGGCUAACUACGUG